GGACGAACGCUGGCGGCGUGCUUAACACAUGCAAGUCGAACGAUGAAGCGGUGCUUGCACCGUGGAUUAGUGGCGAACGGGUGAGUAAUACGUGAGUGACCUACCUUUGACUCUGGGAUAAGCCUGGGAAACUGGGUCUAAUACCGGAUACGACCAAUCUCUGCAUGGGGUGUUGGUGGAAAGCGUUAUGGAGUGGUUUUAGAUGGGCUCACGGCCUAUCAGCUUGUUGGUGAGGUAAUGGCUUACCAAGGCGACGACGGGUAGCCGGCCUGAGAGGGUGACCGGCCACACUGGGACUGAGACACGGCCCAGACUCCUACGGGAGGCAGCAGUGGGGAAUAUUGCACAAUGGGCGCAAGCCUGAUGCAGCGACGCCGCGUGAGGGAUGACGGCCUUCGGGUUGUAAACCUCUGUUAGCAUCGAAGAAGCGAAAGUGACGGUAGGUGCAGAGAAAGCGCCGGCUAACUAC
rnacentral:rRNA from 1 species